CUCGACAAGACACAUAUUUUCUCCGUUACAUUUUAUCAGCCAUCUUUUACGGUUAUUUAGUAAAUCCGAUAACAAGCUAAGGUCAAAAUCUAGGUCAUGACCUUGACCUUUGACCUUAGGUCAAUUUUCAUGUUCAUGUAAAUUGAUGAUCAUUGGUGAUGAUCCUAGGUGGCUACAACUUACAGUUUUUGAGUUUUAGUGGCCAACCGACAUUUGUUAAUUUUCAAAGGGGCAUAACCCUACCAAUGAGUCGUUGAAUCUUUUCGAUUCAAAUGUAACGAAGCACCAGGGUCUGUUCCUGAACAAAUUCCACCCUUUGUUUUUUUUCUACCUAUUAUGGUUAUGGAGUUAGAAUGAUAACAAGUUUUUCGGUCUUAGGGGAGAUAACCCCUAUAAAGGAAAUGUUACGGGGUCGUGCCCUCACCACAAGAUAGCUUUUGGUCAACCGAUACUAGAUACCUAAUAUCAUUUCAACAUGUCGCGUACUUUUUUUGGGAAAUUUCG
rnacentral:lncRNA from 1 species